UUCUCUUCCUCUGGAAAGAAACAGGACUGGACUUGGAGAUGAGACACCGGAGGGGUGGCUGCGUCUGUUGCGUGGAGUAAGGCCGUUUUCUGGCCAUUCGGCGGCGCGGGUGACAGCAGCGUCCUAGUACAAAUGCAUGUUGGCGGGCUAGAUUUCAAAGGAUGCGGCGGGAGACCGGAGCUUAGGAGAGGUGUUGGCGUGUCCGUGGGAGAGUCGGCGCAACCAGCGACCUAGGUCUCGUCCUAACUUAUUGUGCUCAGCUUUCUCAGUCUUGUUUGAAAAACGAGCAAGGAGCAGUGAUGGAGAUCGACGUGAAAUGGUGAAAUAAACGGAGCAAAGCUUAAUUUUUUUAAUUUAGUAGGUGAUUGCUUCUCGGCCUUUUGGGGAAGGGAUGUAACGUGAGCGCCUGUACGAACCCAGGUAUUCUGUCUCAGCGACUCCUGCUAGAGGAGGCAUCAGCAUCUGUUGCACUAACUUGGAGACACGCCGUCGGUAUACAUGCAUUAGACAGGAAGGCGACCAGAAAUCGAGGACCUUGUUCAGGAAGGAGGAGGAGAGGACCUUUCCUGCAGUGCAGACCUCCGUGGGUUCAGGAAGUUACUGGAUUGCAGGUUGGAGGUGAAUCCUGUCCCUUGUUGAAGUUUAGUUUCAGCAGAUUAUUUGUGAUAAGAAAUCACAGUAUUCACAGAAAACAAAAGUUUGAUUGCUUCUGUUCUUGACCUUUCCUUUUGUAGAAUAUGAGAAACAGUGUAAACAAACAUUCUUUAUGGUCACUAAUGGUGAUGCUUGAAAUUGGUCCUCAGCCUUGCUUAAAUUAACUGGAUUUUAAAUGUCAAAGCCCCUUCUGCAUGUUUUCCUUGGUCAAAUAAAAUUUUACUAAA